ACUCCUACGGGAGGCAGCAGUGGGGAAUAUUGCACAAUGGGCGCAAGCCUGAUCCAGCCAUGCCGCGUGAGUGAUGAAGGCCUUAGGGUCGUAAAGCUCUUUCGCCAGGGAUGAUAAUGACAGUACCUGGUAAAGAAACCCGGCUAACUCCGUGCCAGCAGCCGCGGUAAUACGGAGGGGGUUAGCGUUGUUCGGAAUUACUGGGCGUAAAGCGCGCGUAGGCGGGUUGUUAAGUUAGAGGUGAAAUCCCGGGGCUCAACCCCGGAACUGCCUUUAAUACUGGCAACCUAGAGUUCGAGAGAGGUGAGUGGAAUUCCGAGUGUAGAGGUGAAAUUCGUAGAUAUUCGGAGGAACACCAGUGGCGAAGGCGGCUCACUGGCUCGAUACUGACGCUGAGGUGCGAAAGUGU
rnacentral:rRNA from 1 species